rnacentral:rRNA from 1 species
AUUGAACGCUGGCGGCAUGCCUUACACAUGCAAGUCGAACGGCAGCACGGGUGCUUGCCCCUGGUGGCGAGUGGCGAACGGGUGAGUAAUACAUCGGAACAUGUCCUUUAGUGGGGGAUAGCCCGGCGAAAGCCGGAUUAAUACCGCAUACGAUCUACGGAUGAAAGCGGGGGACCUUCGGGCCUCGCGCUAUCGGGUUGGCCGAUGGCUGAUUAGCUAGUUGGUGGGGUAAAGGCCUACCAAGGCGACGAUCAGUAGCUGGUCUGAGAGGACGACCAGCCACACUGGGACUGAGACACGGCCCAGACUCCUACGGGAGGCAGCAGUGGGGAAUUUUGGACAAUGGGCGAAAGCCUGAUCCAGCAAUGCCGCGUGUGUGAAGAAGGCCUUCGGGUUGUAAAGCACUUUUGUCCGGAAAGAAAUCCUUGGCCCUAAUACGGUCGGGGGAUGACGGUACCGGAAGAAUAAGCACCGGCUAACUACGUG